rnacentral:rRNA from 1 species
CAAUAGCGUAUAUUAAAGUUGUUGCAGUUAAAAAGCUCGUAGUUGGAUUUCUGGCAGAGUGUCCUUUGGCCAGCAUGACGUUUGGUCCAGAGCGCUCUACCAUCCUUCUGUUAACCUUUACAGGAUUCGUUUUCUGCAUUGGGGCUCAGAUAUUUUUACCUUGAGAAAAUUAGAGUGUUUAAAGCAGGCUUUUUGCUAUGAAUACAUUAGCAUGGAAUAAUAAUUUAGGACUCUGUUUCUAUUUUGUUGGUUUCCGGAAACGGAGUAAUGAUUGAUAGGGAUUGUUGGGGGUGCUAGUAUUCAGCGGCCAGAGGUGAAAUUCUCGGAUUCGCUGAAGACUAACUUAUGCGAAAGCAUUCACCAAGGAAGUCUUCUUUAAUCAAGAACGAAAGUUGGGGGAUCGAAGACGAUCAGAUACC